ensembl:snRNA U6 U6 spliceosomal RNA
GUGCUUGCUUCGGCAGCACAUAUACUAAAAUUGGAACGAUACAGGGAAGAUUAGCGUGGCCCCUGCGCAAGGAUGACACACAAAUUCGUGGAGCGUUCCAUUUUUGC